AUAUACGGCCAUAUCACGUUGAAAGCACCGGUUCUCGUCUGAUCACCGAAGUUAAGCAACAUCGAGCCUAGUUAGUACUUAGAUGGGUGACCGCUUGGGAAACCUAGGUGCUGUAAGCA
rnacentral:rRNA from 1 species